UAGGGAAUCUUCGGCAAUGGGGGGAACCCUGACCGAGCAACGCCGCGUGAGUGAAGAAGGUUUUCGGAUCGUAAAGCUCUGUUGUUAAGGAAGAACGAGUGUGAGAAUGGAAAGUUCAUACUGUGACGGUACUUAACCAGAAAGGGACGGCUAACUACGUGCCAGCAGCCGCGGUAAUACGUAGGUCCCGAGCGUUGUCCGGAUUUAUUGGGCGUAAAGCGAGCGCAGGCGGUUAGAUAAGUCUGAAGUUAAAGGCAGUGGCUCAACCAUUGUAGGCUUUGGAAACUGUUUAACUUGAGUGCAGGAGGGGAGAGUGGAUUUCCAUGUGUAGCGGUGAAAUGCGUAGAUAUAUGGAGGAACACCGGUGGCGAAAGCGGCUCUCUGGUCUGAAACUGACGCUGAGGCUCGAAAGAGUGGGGAGCGAGCAGG
rnacentral:rRNA from 1 species